rnacentral:misc_RNA from 1 species
AAAAAGAGAAGAAGAAUUGAGAAGAAUAAUCUGCAUUUUUUCUUUUCAAGUUAUUGUUUAUUUUAUUUUUUAUUUUUAUUAGAUAUGGAUAUGAAAGUGGAAGUUAAUGUUAAAGUUGAAAAGGAAGAGUUGGAUGAAUAUGACCAAAAAUAUAUGGACAAUCAGUUAUCGACAUCAACAGAUCUACCAGACAUAAAAGAUGAACCAGAGGAAAAUAAACCAGAUAUGGAUAUGAAAGUGGAAGAUAAUGUUAAAGUUGAAAAGGAAGAGUUGGAUGAAUAUGACCAAAAAUAUAUGGACAAUCAGUUAUCGACAUCAACAGAUCUACCAGACAUAAAAGAUGAACCAGAGGAAAAUAAACCAGGUUGUUCAUUUCAAAAAGAAAAUUUGGAUGGAUACGUUGAAAAGAAAACAUUAAAUAAAAAUACGAAAGUUGAAACUGGAAAAUCACAUUUGAUGACUCACACUGGAAAAAAGCCUUAUAAGUGUAAAAUCUGUUUUAAGCUAUUUACUGCAGCAUAUUCUUUGAAGCUACAUUUGAUGACUCACACUGGAGUAAAGCCUUAUACGUGUGAAAUUUGUUCUAAGCAAUUUACUCAAGCCGGUCAUUUGAAAACACAUUUGAUGGCACAUACUGGAGUAAAGCCUUAUACGUGUGAAAUUUGUUCUAAGCAAUUUAGUCAGGAUGGAAAUUUGAAAAGACAUUUUAUGACUCACACUGGAAAAAAGCCUUACGAGUGUGAAAUUUGUUUAAAACGCUGUAUUACUGAAAGUGAUUUGACAAGACAUUUGAGAGUGCACACGGGUGAAAAACCUCACAAAUGUGAGAUUUGUUUUAGGCAAUUUAGUCUAGCAUAUUCUUUGAAAAUACAUUUGAGAACACACACAGGAGAAAAUAAUUACAAGUGUGAAUUUUGUUUAAAACAAUUUUCUCAGCGAUGUAAUCUAAAACUGCAUUUGACAAUACAUACUGAAGAAAAACCUCACAAAUGUGAAAUUUGUUUUAAGCAGUUUUCUCAAGCCGGUAAUUUGAAAGCACAUUUAAUGAUCCACUCUGGAGUAAAACCGUAUGAGUGUGAUAUUUGUUUUAAACAGUUUACUCAACCCAGUAGUUUGAAAACACAUUUGAUGACUCACACUGGAGUUAAGCCUAACAAGUGUGGAAUUUGUUCUAAGCAAUUUAGGCAGGAUGGAAAUUUGAAGAGACAUUUGAUGACUCACACUGGAAAAAAGCCUUGAGUGUGAUAUUUGUUUUAAGCAAUUUACUGCACUAUGUUCUUUGAAACUACAUUUGAUGACUCACACUGGAGUAAACCAUUACAAGUGUGAAAUUUGUUUUAAGCAAUUUAAUCAAGCCGGUCAUCUGAAAAGACAUUUGACGAUUCACACUGAAGAAAAGCCUUACAAGUUGUUCAUUUCAAAAAGAAGAUUUGGAUGGAUACGUUGAAGAGAAAACAUUAAAUAAAAAUAUGAAAGUUGAACUUGGAAAACC